rnacentral:rRNA from 1 species
UGGGGAAUUUUGGACAAUGGGGGAAACCCUGAUCCAGCCAUCCCGCGUGUGCGAUGAAGGCCUUCGGGUUGUAAAGCACUUUUGGCAGGAAAGAAACGUCAUGGGUUAAUACCCCGUGAAACUGACGGUACCUGCAGAAUAAGCACCGGCUAACUACGUGCCAGCAGCCGCGGUAAUACGUAGGGUGCAAGCGUUAAUCGGAAUUACUGGGCGUAAAGCGUGCGCAGGCGGUUCGGAAAGAAAGAUGUGAAAUCCCAGAGCUCAACUUUGGAACUGCAUUUUUAACUACCGGGCUAGAGUGUGUCAGAGGGAGGUGGAAUUCCGCGUGUAGCAGUGAAAUGCGUAGAUAUGCGGAGGAACACGGAUGGCGAAGGCAGCCUCCUGGGAUAACACUGACGCUCAUGCAAGAAAGCGUGGGGAGCAAACAGG